AAGAGCCGGAUGCGGGAAACCCGCCUGUCCGGAUCCGUGGAGGGGGUUGUGAGCAAUCAUGAUCCCUACUCCGAC
rfam:Acidobacteria bacterium 13_2_20CM_58_27 13_2_20cm_scaffold_71, whole genome shotgun sequence.